rnacentral:tRNA from 1 species
GUUCAUGUAGCUUAGUAGCAAAGCGAGACACUGAAAAUGUCUAGACGAGUUACAUUACUCCAUAAACA